UACAGAGGUGGCAAGCGUUGUUCGGAAUUACUGGGCGUAAAGCGUGCGCAGGCGGUUCUGUAAGCCCGAUGUGAAAGCCCCGGGCUUAACCUGGGAAUGGCAUUUGGGACUGCAAGGCUUGAGUGCGGCAGAGGAGACUGGAAUUCCUGGUGUAGCAGUGAAAUGCGUAGAUAUCAGGAGGAAUACCGAUGGCGAAGGCAGGUCUCUGGGCUGACACUGACGCUCAUGCACGAAAGCGUGGGGAGCAAACAGG
rnacentral:rRNA from 1 species